GCGGAUAUGGUCAAAUGGUA
rnacentral:tRNA from 1 species